UUGUGAUUUACAGGUAACAUGUAACCACUGUGUUUCCUAGAUAACAGGCCCCUUUCUGGAAUCCUCAGUGACUCCCUUGGUACUGCUAUCAGCUUUACUUCUCCAACAGAAAUCAAGGAUUUGCUUCAGUUUUAGGAUCUCUGGGCCAGCACUGAAUGAAUGCCUCAUUUGACCUUGGUCUAUAAGAUGUUGUGGCCGCUGGAGUAUGGAAAGGCUUCCACUGAUGUAUGUUACAACUGCCUUUUUUAAAGCUAUACUACACAAUAGGCUUGUAGUCCUGAUCAGAUAGCUGUGCAUCUACCCCCUGCCAUGCAUUCUCCCUAGUGCCCAUUUACAAGGUAAGUUCUAAUAUUUUUGUUUCUAGUUUUCAUUGCUUUUUCUCACUACUACUGUUAGAUAAAUAAAUGAUAGCCUAGGGAUGAGGAAGUCUCAUUCGAUUUGCUCAUAGGGUUUGUGAGGACGGUUGUGUUAAAAACAUGCUCAAAGAAAAACCCCAAGUUUAAAGACUUCUCCAACCUUCCCUGAAAUGUCAGUCUCUACCUGUUGUGCCAUGGCUCUGAUUCUCCAAUAUUCAGCUUCAGCACUCGGCGAGAGGGAGGGGGCUGCCACCUUCACUUCACAGGCGUCUCCACUAAAGCUUUCAGAACCACUGUGGAAAUAGCCCAAUAGGUUCUAUAGAGAAACACAACAUCAGACUUUCACUGUGCGUUAAAUUAAGUCAGUGAUUGUAGAACUGCUGAACCUCCUCAUGUGUAAUACAAAAUUCAGAGUGGGAGUGAUCUCUACCCAGUACGGAUCACCUGCUAUUCAGCAUUCAGUGUAUUUGAUGCAAAUGCAUCACAACAGCUUGGGUAGUGGUGUAUUAAAGGGAAUUUUUUGUCACAAGGUGGCGAGCUGAGAAAUAAUCUAUAUGGAGCAUGCAGCAACAGGAUCAAGUAAGCAACUUUGUCUCGAUCUACUUUUAACCAACUGAGAAGAAGAGCUGGAACAAAAGUGCGCUUACCAGUGUCGUCAUCAAAGUCAGAAAGGAUGCACUCAAUGCCGUCCUCACUGCUGGCUGACUGCUCCUGCACUCUUCGGGGCAUGUUAACCAACCGGACACUGAGGAAAACAGGUUUCAAGGGCAUUUUG